CACUUGAUUACAUCGAUAGGACAAGUAAGUAUAGUUUGUUUAAUAACUCUUACAUUUUAAUGGGUAGAUUAGUAUUUUUAUUUUAACACAAAGAAGUAAAAAGGAAAAAGCAAAAUUAUGUAUUUCUAUUUUUUAAUCAAAAAACUUUAUAAAGUUUUAAAUAUAAUAAUUUUCCGCGAUAUUAUUAUGGCAUUAUGCACUCUACAUUUCCAUCGAGCCUAUUUCUGCCCAAAUGAUUAAUACUAUUUUAUUUAAAUGAAAAAAUGUCGAUUUAAGUAUUUAUUGCUUAUGAACGUCAUUAUUAAAUAGUAUUUGCUAUAGUAAAUAAGUAUAAAUAUUUGAUUAUAUUUUAUAGGUGACGCAUAUGAUUAUGUUGAGCAUCUGAUGACUUUUGUGGAUUUUGAUGGUACUUUUACAUGAAUUAAUAAUUAUAAUAAUUUUAGACAACCAUUGUUUUUCUCACUCAAACACGACAAUGGUAACAUGACUGACAGUUCGGAUAUCCAAAUGAAGAACAUUUAACCUGCAGAAUUCUGCCUCUAAAAAAAUUUGGCCUUUAUGAUAAGUAAUAUUAUAUAGGUGUUUACUGCCCUCAAUAAAAAAAAAACCUGUGGCUUCCGUCCAAUUUUUCCUAUAGGAAUCACGUGGCAUAGUGAAUAUUUUUCAAGGGGUUUUCGGAACUCUAAGUAGGUAUUUAAUUUACACUCUAAUUUUAUAUGUAUAUUCAUUAUUAGUAACGGUCUAAUAUACUAUUACAUUAACGCAUACAAUUAUAAUGUAAUUAAAUAUUCAUGUAAUCUUUUAUUCUUAUUUGUAGAGAAUAAUGUCACGGAGUCACAUCCAAAAGAAUUUUGCAAAAGGGAGGAAAUGAAUAAUAUCAAACCAAUUUCAUCCCUACUCCCGGAUUAGAAUCCUGAUGAAAUCUGACAAAACAAAUUUAUAUUGCAUUUAUAUUGUAUGUUAAAUAUUAAUCUGCAUAUUUUUCUGUUAGUAGAUUAUAAUAUUACUAUUAAAAAUAGUCAUAUUUAUCGUAAGCACAUAAAAGUGUAUUUACGGUUGUGAAUAUAUUUCACAAUAUUAUAUUGACAAAAAAAAAUAAAUUCGAUAUUAUAUGUAUAUUCUAAUAUGUUUGAUAGUUAUGCUUAAAUUCAAUACAAAUAUUUAUAAAUUGUAUUAAAUAUAGUAAUAUCAAAGUAAAA